rnacentral:rRNA from 1 species
CCUUAAUCUGCUAAAUAGUUGCAUUCACUUUGGUGGAUGAUCAACUUCUUAGAGAGACUAUGUACGUUUAGUACGUGGAAGUUUGAGGCAAUAACAGGUCUGUGAUGCCCUUAGAUGUUCUGGGCCGCACGCGCGCUACACUGACAAAGGCAGCAAGUAUCACCUUGGCCGGAAGGCCUGGGUAAUCUUUUGAAACUUUGUCGUGCUGGGGAUAGUCCCUUGCAAUUAUUGGACUUAAACGAGGAAUUCCUAGUAAGCGCAAGUCAUCAGCUUGCGUUGAUUACGUCCCUGCCCUUUGUACACACCGCCCGUCGCUACUACCGAUUGAAUGGCUUAGUGAGACCUCCGGAUCGGCGGUUUUGGAGCCGCGAGGCUUUGAGGCUGCUGAGAAGUUGGUCAAACUUGGUCAUUUAGAGGAAGUAAAAGUCG